ensembl:lncRNA
AUACAUCAGAGAAGCGGGUUGGGAAUGGGGCUUGGCUGCAGUUUUUCCCAAAGCAGGGCCUGAGCUGAGGAUUCGGGUGCAGGUUGCUUAUUCGGAAGGUGACCCGCGGAAGCAUGGUUGCAUGCUUCCAGCAAGAUCCCUGGUGCCAAAGGAAGUCCACAGGCCGAGAAGGAAAGAGAAGCAAGCCCUUUAAGCUCUCUAGAAACAGCUCAGUGCAACUGCAGGCGAACUCAGAAGUGGGCCAAGGGGAUCCAGAGAUGGCCCCUGACACUGCCCAGUUGCCAUGCUGUGAGGAAGCCCAGACCACAGGCAGAGGUCAUGUAUAGGUGUUCCAGCUGACAGCCCCAGAUGAGGUCUCAGACGACACCCUGCAACCACUGUCUGAGGGGGCCAUGGAGUGAUGCCAACCCCCAGUCCUCAGGCCACCCCAGCUGACACCAAAGAGCUGUCCCUACCAAGCCCUGCUCAAAUCACGGAUUUUAUUGGAAAAAUAAAUACUGUGUUUAUU